GUAUGAAUCAUCAUGGUUUGAAUGUGACAAUUAAACAGCUGAAACAGCAUUUGGAUUCUUAUAAUAUAAUAUAUUGUUUCUGUUUACAGUAUUACAUGUACUUGGUGUUAGUAGCCAAAAAAGGUUUCAUUAAAGGCCAUGUAAAGUAUGUAAUUAUGUAAACAAACCCUUUGUUUACAUUCUGAAUCCCGUGCUAUAUUAGAUAUAUAUAAUAUAUAUUAUGCUGAAUUUUAAUUCUUCUGGUUUGCUAUGUUUGUAAAUGAAUACAGACCAGAGAUUCAAUUCUAGAAAGUUUGGAAGGUGCAAAAUAUUAAUAACAUUCCAAUGGUCGGUUCCCGAUCAUUGGAAUGUAGGCCUGCAGAAUACAUGUGCAGAACAGACUUUACAUGGUCUUUAACAAUAGCAGUAUGUACUACAUACGGUAUGUAAUAAUAUGAAACCGUCUACACAAUUUAUACAAUGGUUCCACUAAAAUUGGUAAAUAAAUGAUUGUCAACUAUUCCACAGUCUUGCUGUGCUGAGUGGUUAUAUAGUAAUACUAUCUACUACAAGCAGAAACUCGACAUUGGCUACUAACU
rnacentral:lncRNA from 1 species